rnacentral:rRNA from 1 species
UAACCUGCCCAAGAGAUCGGGAUAACACCUGGAAACAGAUGCUAAUACCGGAUAACAACAGAUGAUGCCUAUCAACUGUUUAAAAGAUGGUCCUGCUAUCACUCUUGGAUGGACCUGCGGUGCAUUAGCUAGUUGGUAGGGUAACGGCCUACCAAGGCGAUGAUGCAUAGCCGAGUUGAGAGACUGAUCGGCCACAUUGGGACUGAUACACGGCCCAAACUCCUACGGGAGGCAGCAGGG